rnacentral:tRNA from 1 species
GCCCUUGUAACUCAGCUGGUAGAGUGUCAGAUUCGUAAUCUGGAUGCCGGGGGUUCAAAUCCCCCCAAGGGCUUCA